UUCCAUCCCUCAAACUCACAGUCCAGAAUCCACGCUCUGUGGUCAGAUGGAUCCUCCCUUUGCGGUGAACAGAUUCUCUGCAGACUCCCAGGUCCCAUUCUGUGCUUGUUCCCACGUCCACCUCCCAGUAGUGGCGGCCACAGGUAAAGCGAGGGGAGCCCAGGAUGCAAAUGGACACGUCAAAUCUCUCGGCAAGGUCUUGCCGAUUCUGUGUGAUGCACCCACUUCGGACGCUCCUGAGGUCGUCAGAAAUGAGGAGGAAGUUGUUGGCUGUGUCGGCAUCCAAGGUCAUAUCCACUGUGAAAAGGAAAAAAAGUUGAUCAGAAAAUGGACAGAAGCCAACCCCAUGCCUCUCCUCUACUUCAAAGGCCCAAAUAUCUCUUGACUUUGGUUUCUUUAAUUCUCUUCUUCCCCCAAAAUCAAAACUUUUCAUGAGGCAACUUCCCUGACUAGUUCAAAUUCUCAUAGGUAUGCUUUGUGGCAAUACCCAACUCUUAUUCACAGUAGCAAUUAUUUUACUUUAUGUCACGUGUUUGCUUCAUUGGACUUUUCUUCAUUUAGAGUGGAGGGUCUCUGAAGGCAGA
rnacentral:lncRNA from 1 species